rnacentral:rRNA from 1 species
GGCUUAACACAUGCAAGUCGAACGAAGGCCCGGCUUCGGCCGGUGUCCUUAGUGGCGGACGGGUGAGUAACGCGUGGGAACCUGCCCUUUAGUUCGGAACAACAGAGGGAAACUUCUGCUAAUACCGGAUACGCCCUUCGGGGGAAAGGCUUCGGCCGCUAAAGGAUGGGCCCGCGUCCGAUUAGCUAGUUGGUGGGGUAACGGCCUACCAAGGCGACGAUCGGUAGCUGGUCUGAGAGGAUGAUCAGCCACACUGGGACUGAGACACGGCCCAGACUCCUACGGGAGGCAGCAGUGGGGAAUAUUGGACAAUGGGGGAAACCCUGAUCCAGCCAUGCCGCGUGGGUGAAGAAGGCCUUAGGGUUGUAAAGCCC